GACGAACGCUGGCGGCGUGCCUAACACAUGCAAGUCGAACGAGGUCCAUCCUUCGGGAGAAGACCUAGUGGCGAACGGGUGAGUAACACGUGAGGAACCUGCCCCGAAGACCGGGAUAACCCUCCGAAAGGAGAGCUAAUACCGGAUACCCCCACCGAACCGCAUGGUUUGGUGAGGAAAUGGAUUCCGCUUCGGGAGGGCCUCGCGGCCUAUCAGCUAGUUGGUGGGGUAACGGCCACCAAGGCAUCGACGGGUAGCUGGUCUGAGAGGACGAUCAGCCACACUGGGACUGAGACACGGCCCAGACUCCUACGGGAGGCAGCAGUGGGGAAUCUUGCGCAAUGGGCGAAAGCCUGACGCAGCAACGCCGCGUGGGGGAUGAAGGCUCUCGGG
rnacentral:rRNA from 1 species